GGUUAAGCGACUAAGCGUACACGGUGGAUGCCCUGGCAGUCAGAGGCGAUGAAGGACGUGCUAAUCUGCGAAAAGCGUCGGUAAGGUGAUAUGAACCGUUAUAACCGGCGAUGUCCGAAUGGGGAAACCCAGUGUGAUUCGUCACACUAUCGUUAACUGAAUACAUAGGUUAACGAGGCGAACCGGGGGAACUGAAACAUCUAAGUACCCCGAGGAAAAGAAAUCAACCGAGAUUCCCCCAGUAGCGGCGAGCGAACGGGGAGCAGCCCAGAGUCUGAAUCAGCUUGUGUGUUAGUGGAACGGUCUGGAAAGUCCGACGGUACAGGGUGAUAGUCCCGUACACCAAAAUGCACAGGCUGUGAACUCGAAGAGUAGGGCGGGACACGUGGUAUCCUGUCUGAAUAUGGGGGGACCAUCCUCCAAGGCUAAAUACUCCUGACUGACCGAUAGUGAACCAGUACCGUGAGGGAAAGGCGAAAAGAACCCCGGCGAGGGGAGUGAAAAAGAACCUGAAACCGUGUACGUACAAGCAGUGGGAGCACCUUCGGGUGUGACUGCGUACCUUUUGUAUAAUGGGUCAGCGACUUAUAUUCUGUAGCAAGGUUAACCGUAUAGGGGAGCCGCAGGGAAACCGAGUCUUAACUGGGCGUUAAGUUGCAGGGUAUAGACCCGAAACCCGGUGAUCUAGCCAUGGGCAGGUUGAAGGUUGGGUAACACUAACUGGAGGACCGAACCGACUAAUGUUGAAAAAUUAGCGGAUGACUUGUGGCUGGGGGUGAAAGGCCAAUCAAACCGGGAGAUAGCUGGUUCUCCCCGAAAGCUAUUUAGGUAGCGCCUCGUGAAUUCAUCUUCGGGGGUAGAGCACUGUUUCGGCUAGGGGGUCAUCCCGACUUACCAACCCGAUGCAAACUACGAAUACCGAAGAAUGUUAUCACGGGAGACACACGGCGGGUGCUAACGUCCGUCGUGAAGAGGGAAACAACCCAGACCGCCAGCUAAGGUCCCAAAGUCAUGGUUAAGUGGGAAACGAUGUGGGAAGGCACAGACAGCCAGGAUGUUGGCUUAGAAGCAGCCAUCAUUUAAAGAAAGCGUAAUAGCUCACUGGUCGAGUCGGCCUGCGCGGAAGAUGUAACGGGGCUAAACCAUGCACCGAAGCUGCGGCAGCGACACUAUGUGUUGUUGGGUAGGGGAGCGUUCUGUAAGCCUGCGAAGGUGUGCUGUGAGGCAUGCUGGAGGUAUCAGAAGUGCGAAUGCUGACAUAAGUAACGAUAAAGCGGGUGAAAAGCCCGCUCGCCGGAAGACCAAGGGUUCCUGUCCAACGUUAAUCGGGGCAGGGUGAGUCGACCCCUAAGGCGAGGCCGAAAGGCGUAGUCGAUGGGAAACAGGUUAAUAUUCCUGUACUUGGUGUUACUGCGAAGGGGGGACGGAGAAGGCUAUGUUAGCCGGGCGACGGUUGUCCCGGUUUAAGCAUGUAGGCUGGUUGUCCAGGCAAAUCCGGAUAAUCAAGGCUGAGGUGUGAUGACGAGGUACUACGGUGCUGAAGUAACAAAUGCCCUGCUUCCAGGAAAAGCCUCUAAGCAUCAGGUAACAUCAAAUCGUACCCCAAACCGACACAGGUGGUCAGGUAGAGAAUACCAAGGCGCUUGAGAGAACUCGGGUGAAGGAACUAGGCAAAAUGGUGCCGUAACUUCGGGAGAAGGCACGCUGGUGUGUAGGUGAAGUCCCUGCGGAUGGAGCUGAGACCAGUCGAAGAUACCAGCUGGCUGCAACUGUUUAUUAAAAACACAGCACUGUGCAAACACGAAAGUGGACGUAUACGGUGUGACGCCUGCCCGGUGCCGGAAGGUUAAUUGAUGGGGUUAUCCGUAAGGAGAAGCUCUUGAUCGAAGCCCCGGUAAACGGCGGCCGUAACUAUAACGGUCCUAAGGUAGCGAAAUUCCUUGUCGGGUAAGUUCCGACCUGCACGAAUGGCGUAAUGAUGGCCAGGCUGUCUCCACCCGAGACUCAGUGAAAUUGAACUCGCUGUGAAGAUGCAGUGUACCCGCGGCAAGACGGAAAGACCCCGUGAACCUUUACUAUAGCUUGACACUGAACAUUGAGCCUUGAUGUGUAGGAUAGGUGGGAGGCUUUGAAGCGUGGACGCCAGUCUGCGUGGAGCCAACCUUGAAAUACCACCCUUUAAUGUUUGAUGUUCUAACGUUGGCCCCUUACCGGGGUUGCGGACAGUGUCUGGUGGGUAGUUUGACUGGGGCGGUCUCCUCCCAAAGCGUAACGGAGGAGCACGAAGGUUAGCUAAUCCUGGUCGGACAUCAGGAGGUUAGUGCAAUGGCAUAAGCUAGCUUGACUGCGAGCGUGACGGCGCGAGCAGGUGCGAAAGCAGGUCAUAGUGAUCCGGUGGUUCUGAAUGGAAGGGCCAUCGCUCAACGGAUAAAAGGUACUCCGGGGAUAACAGGCUGAUACCGCCCAAGAGUUCAUAUCGACGGCGGUGUUUGGCACCUCGAUGUCGGCUCAUCACAUCCUGGGGCUGAAGUAGGUCCCAAGGGUAUGGCUGUUCGCCAUUUAAAGUGGUACGCGAGCUGGGUUUAGAACGUCGUGAGACAGUUCGGUCCCUAUCUGCCGUGGGCGCUGGAGAAUUGAGGGGGGCUGCUCCUAGUACGAGAGGACCGGAGUGGACGCAUCACUGGUGUUCGGGUUGUCAUGCCAAUGGCACUGCCCGGUAGCUAAAUGCGGAAGAGAUAAGUGCUGAAAGCAUCUAAGCACGAAACUUGCCCCGAGAUGAGUUCUCCCUGAGACUUUAAGUCUCCUGAAGGAACGUUAAAGACGAUGACGUUGAUAGGCCGGGUGUGUAAGCGCAGCGAUGCGUUGAGCUAACCGGUACUAAUGAACCGUGAGGCUUAACCUU
rnacentral:rRNA from 1 species